AGGCAGCAGUGGGGAAUAUUGGACAAUGGGGGCAACCCUGAUCCAGCCAUGCCGCGUGUGUGAAGAAGGCUUCGGGCUGUAAAGCACUUUAAGCGAGGAGGAAGGUUUUUAGUUUAAUACACUAAAGAAUUGACGUUACUCGCAGAAUAAGCACCGGCUAACUCUGUGCCAGCAGCCGCGGUAAUACAGAGGGUGCAAGCGUUAAUCGGAAUUACUGGGCGUAAAGCGCGCGUAGGCGGUUUGUUAAGUCGGAUGUGAAAUCCCCUGGGCUCAACCUAGGCACUGCAUCCGAUACUGGCUAACUAGAGUGUGGGAGAGGAAGGUAGAAUUCCAGGUGUAGCGGUGAAAUGCGUAGAGAUCUGGAGGAAUACCGAUGGCGAAGGCAGCCUUCUGGCCUAACACUGACGCUGAGGUGCGAAAGCAUGGGGAGCAAACAGGAUUAGAUACCCUGGUAGUCCAUGCUGUAAACGAUGUCAACUAGCCGUUGGGGACCUUGAGUCUUUAGUGNCGCAGCUAACGCGAUAAGUUGACCGCCUGGGGAGUANCGGUCGCAAGACUAAAACUCNAAUGAAUUGACGGNNC
rnacentral:rRNA from 1 species